GCGGGAGUAAUUCAGCGGUAGAAUGCCAGCUUCCCAAGCUGGACGUCGCGGGUUCGAUCCCCGUCUCCCGCU
rnacentral:tRNA from 2 species